ensembl:lncRNA
GUAGGGAACGGGCUAGGAGCAACUGCUGUGUCUGGCUGUGCUCCAUUGCGUGGAGGGUGGGAAGAAGAGGAUGCUUUAGCCCUUAACUGCUAUUUAUUCCAGCACUGGAAAACAAAAAAAAUUCUAAUGCUGAAACAAUGAUUAAAAAAAAGUACUAAACUGUGGCAAAAGACUGCCUGGGAGGAAUAGAGGUCAGCUCUUCUACCCUGGAUUGCACGGCAAUGAAGUUCAUGUUACAGCCAAAUUCCAGGUGCACAGAAACUCUAUUGUCUCCAGGAGACGUUGUCCAUUCCAUCUCCUUGAAAGCCAAAAGACUACAUCUGAAAGUAUUUCAUCUUCAAAAGAAUCUGCCUCCCACAAGAAUACGUCUGUUUGGCUGCUAUGAAAAGAUGCUGCACCAACAAAGGCUUCCUCUGUGCAUGAUCUCCAUGGUGUGUGAUCUUUACAUGGAAAUGCUGCUCCUUGUGCUGCUCACGGGUCCUUUCCAAGUCCUGUGGAGCACAAAGGCUGGAGGUGGCUGCUGCAGUGAACAGGAGCGUAGGAAACCUGAUUUUCUCUGAGCCAAUGCAGACAGGCUUGUCCUUCUGCCUGGAUUCCCUUACAGCAUCACUUGCUUGAAACCUUUAAUGCUUUGCCCUCCCUCCCUUGCCAGCCAGCUACCCAUGUGCAGCUGUUGUGUUCAUCACAGGCACAGGCUCUGCAUCUUCUCUUGGCUCAGAGGAUGGCUUGGGAGGAGGCAGGGAGCACAGUGGGGCUGAGCACAGAGCCAGCUCCUGGCUACCACCUCCUGCAGGGAUUGGAGUUGUCCCAUAUGGCUGAGAACUGAUCUCCAUCACUGCAGGCACCGUGCUCACCUGGC